UGUAAUAGGAUGGUGUAAU
rnacentral:piRNA from 1 species